GAUGAACGCUGGCGGCGUGCCUAAUACAUGCAAGUCGAGCGAACGGACGAGAAGCUUGCUUCUCUGAUGUUAGCGGCGGACGGGUGAGUAGCACGUGGAUAACCUACCUAUAAGACUGGGAUAACUUCGGGAAACCGGAGCUAAUACCGGAUAAUAUUUUGAACCGCAUGGUUCAAAAGUGAAAGACGGUCUUGCUGUCACUUAUAGAUGGAUCCGCGCUGCAUUAGCUAGUUGGUAAGGUAACGGCUUACCAAGGCAACGAUGCAUAGCCGACCUGAGAGGGUGAUCGGCCACACUGGAACUGAGACACGGUCCAGACUCCUACGGGAGGCAGCAGUAGGGAAUCUUCCGCAAUGGGCGAAAGCCUGACGGAGCAACGCCGCGUGAGUGAUGAAGGUCUUCGGAUCGUAAAACUCUGUUAUUAGGGAAGAACAUAUGUGUAAGUAACUGUGCACAUCUUGACGGUACCUAAUCAGAAAGCCACAGCUAACUACGUG
rnacentral:rRNA from 1 species